rnacentral:rRNA from 1 species
UACAGAGGCCUCGAGCGUUAGGCGGAAUCACUGGGCUUAAAGCGUGUGUAGGCGGACUUCUAAGUACCUUGUGAAAUCCCACGGCUCACCCGUGGAACUGCUUGGUAUACUGGUUGGCUUGAGCCUUCUAGGGGCGAGUGGAACAAAUGGUGGAGCGGUGAAAUGCGUAGAUAUCAUUUGGAACGCCAAUGGUGAAAACAACUCGCUGGGGAAGUGCUGACGCUGAGACACGAAAGCCAGGGGAGCGAACGGG